rnacentral:rRNA from 1 species
GAGUUUCCAGAGUUUGAUCCUGGCUCAGAUUGAACGCUAGCGGAAUGCUUUACACAUGCAGGUCGAACGGCAGCACGGACUUCGGUUUGGUGGCGAGUGGCGGACGGGUGAGUAAUAUAUCGGAACGUGCCCAGUAGUGGGGGAUAACUACGCGAAAUCGAGCUAAUACCGCAUAUCCCUAAGGGGGAAAGCGGGGGAUCUUCGGACCUCGCGCUAUUGGAUCGGCCGAUACCGGAUUAGCUAGUUGGUGAGGUAAUAGCUCACCAAGGCAACGAUCCGUAGCUGGUCUGAGAGGACGACCAGCCACACUGGGACUGAGACACGGCCCAGACUCCUACGGGAGGCAGCAGUGGGGAAUUUUGGACAAUGGGGGGAACCCUGAUCCAGCCAUUCCGCGUGUGCGAUGAAGGCCUUAGGGUUGUAAAGCACUUUUGGCAGGGAAGAAACAGUGUUGGAUAAUACCCAGCAUGAAUGACGGUACCUGCAGAAUAAGCACCGGCUAACUACGUGCCAGCAGCCGCGGUAAUACGUAGGGUGCAAGCGUUAAUCGGAAUUACUGGGCGUAAAGAGUGCGCAGGCGGUUCGGAAAGAAGGAUGUGAAAUCCCAGGGCUUAACCUUGGAACUGCAUUUUUAACUACCGAACUAGAGCGUGUCAGAGGGAGGUGGAAUUCCGCAUGUAGCAGUGAAAUGCGUAGAUAUGCGGAGGAACACCGAUGGCGAAGCAGCCUCCUGGGAUAACACUGACGCUCAUGCACGAAAGCGUGGGGAGCAAACAGGAUUAGAUACCCUGGUAGUCCACGCCCUAAACGAUGUCAACUAGCUGUUGGGACCUUCGGGUCUUAGUGCGCAGCUAACGCGUGAAGUUGACCGCCUGGGGAGUACGGUCGCAAGAUUAAAACUCAAAGGAAUUGACGGGGACCGCACAAGCGGUGGAUGAUGUGGAUUAAUUCGAUGCAACGCGAAAAACCUUACCUACCCUUGACAUGUCUAGAAUCCCGAAGAGAUUUGGGGGUGCUUGAAAAAGAACUAGAACACAGGUGCUGCAUGGCUGUCGUCAGCUCGUGUCGUGAGAUGUUGGGUUAAGUCCCGCAACGAGCGCAACCCUUGUCAUUAGUUGCUACGAAAGGGCACUCUAAUGAAACUGCCGGUGACAAACCGGAGGAAGGUGGGGAUGAUGUCAAGUCCUCAUGGCCCUUAUGGGUAGGGCUUCACACGUCAUACAAUGGUCGGGACAGAGGGUCGCCAACCCGCGAGGGGGAGCUAAUCCCAGAAACCCGAUCGUAGUCCGGAUCGUAGUCUGCAACUCGACUACGUGAGGUCGGAAUCGCUAGUAAUCGCAGAUCAGCAUGCUGCGGUGAAUACGUUCUCGGGUCUUGUACACACCGCCCGUCACACCAUGGGAGUGGGUUUUACCAGAAGUAGUUAGCCUAACCGCAAAGAGGGCGAUUACCACGGUAGGAUUCAUGACUGGGGUGAAGUCGUAACAAGGUAGCCGUAUCGGAAGGUGCGGCUGGAUCACCUCCUUUAAGAGCAUUGAAACUAUCAUUAAGUAUCCGCAAUUAUCGGUUGUUAAGAUAGCUGUGAUUGUUAGUAAGCGCUGGUUAUGACAGAUUUUAUAUUGGUUUUGCAUUGUAUAGUGCAGUCGGUAUAGGUAUGGGUCUGUAGCUCAGCUGGUUAGAGCACCGUCUUGAUAAGGCGGGGGUCGUUGGUUCAAGUCCAACUAGACCCACCAUUAAUGUUUGGGCGAAACCUUUCGAUACUUUGGGGGUGUAGCUCAGUUGGGAGAGCGCCUGCUUUGCAAGCAGGAGGUCAUCGGUUCGAUCCCGUUCACCUCCACCACAUAUAGAGUUUAAUUCUCAUACAUAAUGUUUUAUGCAUGAGAAUUGAGCUUUAUCAAAUAAGCUAUUUGUUCUUUAAAAAUCUAGAAGGAGCACAACGAAAGAUGUUCUAUUUAUUAUUAAUAGACGUAGGGUUGUGAUUGCAAAAAAGUUCCAAGUAUAAUUGGAUAUUCAUAAACAGUAAAAUAUAGUCAAUUUAUCUUAUAUAGCCUUUAGUGUUAUAGGAUCAAGUUACUAAGUGCAUACGGUGGAUGCCUUGGA